rnacentral:tRNA from 1 species
AGUAAGGUCAGCUAAAUAAGCUUUUGGGCCCAUACCCCAACCAUGUUGGUUAAUAUCCUCCCUCUACUA